GACGUGAUGACUGACUCAGUCAAAGGCCCUAUAAGAAGCCAUCUCGUGAGAUCAACAACAAACACAACGCUCAGACCUUCGUCGACGUCCAAACGUGGAAGCGUGAGACUCCGCUCUAUUCGGCUCGUUUCCAGGUAUGUUAUUUACGCGGGAGUAAAUAGUUACUCGUUAGCGAAUACGUCGUUCGAUGUCAAACGCGUGUGGAUGUCUCUUUGCGUUUCCUCGACGGCGGCGUCACAAAAAUAGUCACGACGGACGGUCUGUACUACGUUGUCGCAUAACCUACAAUACUUCGCGUAUACCUAUAUAUCGGACGCUCAUUAAACGAAUGUUCCGCCAGGGAUUUUGUUUACCCUCGACAACGUUUCCACGAACUCUUGAGAAGCUAAGAAGAAUUUUGGGUACGCCAACUGACUAACUGCUCUCUAAUAACCAAGUCUAAUGGUCUGAUAUCUGAUAAAGAUAACCUAACCUCUUUGGUGCUAUUUUUAUUUCACUCUUUUCUUUCCUUCAAUUGUAUUCACUCUUACUUGGUAUUACCGUGCACGGAGGUUAGAAUACCAGAAGGUCGCGUGCUCUUGAACUCUUAUCUGUCAACGACGUUAAACGGAAAAUUGUUAUGUACCAUGCUAUAGCCACCUGUUGAGUUGUCAUUUACUUUGUUUAUUAUCUCACACUCCCAAUAUAUUAUGUAAAUAUUUGUUAUAUAGGUGGCGUCACUUUUUAUUAAGCUAUGUAUUGUAUCGGGCCUCGUACUGUUUUACCGAUCGAUACGGCAGUGCGAAUUAUCGACCGAGUCAGUUUGGUUGAUUCAACGAUAAAAUGUAUUGUGGUGUCUGCCGUCGAGACGCGAGGUCGCCAAGAGGUUAUCAAAGUGACAGCCGAGGACGUGUGGAGAUUGUGGAGAUGUGGAGACGACGCUUUGUGGAGAUUUUUCAGCGAGGACUUUUGGCGCCUCCUCACACCGCGUUAUCACUGCGGGUAAUCUCUGGGGCAAAAUGAGUCAUCCCUCCGUUAUGAAACUCAUCUCGGAUGAUGUGUUUUACGAGUUAUUGAGAAAUGGCGACUUUUAUUGAAUAUUUGAGCCUCGUUACACCAGGAGCGAACGUCGAGAUGUAUAAUUAAGUAAUAGCUCAUUUCUUAUGAAGUAUAUUUACGUCAUUACUAUGUGUGUUAACUAUACUUACUGUUAGAUUCGAGUUAGACAAGCUAAAUUAACUGUUGAAUCUCAAAUCUCAGUGAUUCGAGCAAUUGAACGAUUUUCUAAGCUCUACGUGCGUAACGAAGGGAGCAAAAAACAUGAUAACCGAUCAGAGAAUCUUUAAUCUUAACGAGACAUGAUGACGCUAAUUGUCAACUGUGAGUUACGAAAACUUUACGAUAAAAGAAAUUAGGUCCUUUAAAGUUCGAUCCUGACGUUGCUCUGAAGUCGAUUUAAUCUCAAAAUAUCCAAAUUCCUGAUUGACUAAUCUUGUAACUGAACGAAAUUUCAAUAUUAUAUCGUAUGAACGGAGCUUAAGUAUAUCAAUGGUACGAUAAUAAAAAAAAAACAUGGCUGACCUUAUAUCGACCCACCACCUACCGGCUGAAAUUCUUACUACUUGUUUUCCAUUUCUGGUAGCCCCCUAUACCUUUUCACCCUCUCCAUACCCUUUCCCUAUUAUGUAAUUUAAUGACUUUGCGAAACUUCCUCUAAAUUCAAAAAUUCGCCUGCAAAUAGCACGCGUAAUUCCUAUGUGAUAUAAACCUGACUGAAUCUGGAUCAUCUAUUUUUACAGUGCAAGUAAAUAGACUGUACUUUCAAAAUAGAUAUUUGAAAAUAUAAUAUAUAUACAUACGGUACAACGAAUAUAAAUAAUAACAACAAUAAUGUUAAUAAAAUUUAAAACAAAAAGACGCAUAACGCCUCAUAUGCACCAUAAAUAAGAUUCGCAUAUGUAAAACGUUUAUCAUUUGACAUUGUAUAUCGAAUGGAUGUUAAUCGAGUGAUAUUUAUUCUCCCUGCCAUAACGUGGUGUGCGUGUGAAAAAAAAAUAAAUAAAUAAAAAAUUCCAAUCGCAUUAUUAUUCGAUAUUCACGACGGAUGUUCCGGAACGUGUCCAUUGUCAAUCGCGCCCUUAUUAACAUUCAUAAAUGGCCUCGUAACGCUGCUAUAAUGACUGACAACUGCCUAAUGGAUAACGACACAAUUUGCCGGCCGGCCGUCUUGCGUUGAAAACCGGGCCGAUCUCACGUGGCCGUGAGGUCAGGCCUGGGGAACGUCCUUUUAAGGUGACUGCUCCUGCGCCACGACCCAGGUUAACGCUCUCGUAUCCCUAGACCGUCUGAAUCCUCGCGAGUAUCCUAUAUCCCAGUGCAAAAUAGCCAAAUCGAUACAAAGUCAUUGGAUCGAAUUAAAAAAAAUUAAAUCCCACUAAAAAAAAGAUCCCACGCAUAUAGAUUAAAUCUAAAAUUCCUGCGGUCCAGUAAUUCAGAGCUGCUUCCACAGCCAAGCGUAGGUUCACCAACUAAUUGACAAUGCUAACAGGCGACAGCGCCAAUCGUUAAUUAAUAUAUACGCAUAUAAUAAGAGAAAAAGUGACGCGGACAGUAGAGAAGUGAAUCUACCACAGUAAAGCAGAGCGUCGAUUGCGUUACGCAAACGUAUGUUCAUAACCAACCAACGUGCCAAUGACGUACCGGGACAGUUAUUUUAGACCCCCGACAGCACCCUGGGACCAGAGUACCAGAAUUGGCGAUUCUCUUGACGAUAACUAUAACGACCUUGAGUAUUCCCCCGCCACCUCGUAUCAAUACUCAAUACAGAUACUAGGAAAAGAAGCGAAGCAACGGCGACCCUGGCGCACAGUCGUCCCGCCUCUAGAAAAUCCCAUCCAGGCCGAGAUCCUCUCCGGCACGAGAGGAUCGAGGAACGUUCCAAGUGUCCCAAUCAUCCUGGACCCAGGGUGAUUCUCGUCCAGGAUGGAAUCCCUCGAGGGUAUCCAAGGCGGCCCUUUGGUGCGCGUGACAGCGAACAACUGCCGUAGUUUAUUAUUACAUCAUGGCCGUGGCGGAGGCCCCUAAGUGGAGCUCAGGGAAGUAGAGGCGAAUCAUGCCGAGGGAUAUUGCGACCUCGGGUAGUAGAAGCCUAUGUACGUGGACGCGCGAGGAUCGUCCGGUUCCUUGUGGUCGUGGGCCGUGUCUUGUCUGUGUAUCAGCCGUUCUACCAGCUAGGGAGAGUCUGUGAUCUGCAGCGCGAGGAGAGUCAAACGGAUACUGUGGAGGAAUACUAAGAGAGAGAGAGAGAGAGGGAGUGAGAGUGAGAGUGAGAGAGAAUGACAAAGAGGGCAGACCAAGGAAGAGCGGAGAGCGGAGCCAAGAGAGCAACUCGGGAGGCCCGACAGGCUGACGCCAGGAACCCCACCAUGCGAGACGACGUGUAACCUGUGCAUAUAUAUUUCUUUACAGGGAGAAUCGACGCAUUAGGCUGAACUUGUCGCAUACGAGAAAACGACAAGCGUCCGAGAAGCAGAAAAAGAUGAAGAGAGUAACGAUGAAAGAGAAACAAGGACGGGGAGAUGUACUCACGCAUGGACGACGGCUGUUAGGCCUUACGCAAGCGGUGCUGAAGUGUACGUGGGGAUUCCUUAUGGCGCCGGCCGUCUGCCGUACUCACAGACACGUAUAAGCGAACUAGCUUCUACACGAUCUCACGAAUAGUAUUAGUGGCGAAGCAUGGCAGCUUGUAGCGUCUCUCGGCGUCGUGCAUGCCUGCUACUCACCAAACGGUAAAACACCAAGGAGAGACGCGAGAAAUCACCGACCUAACCUGUCCCAGCUAGUGUUGGAUACGCAGCUGCUGCCAUCUGAGGAAGUACUAACUGAUCUAGGAAUUUCGUCCAUUUUUAAAUAACCACUCUGAAUCUUAUUCAAGUCAUAUCUAUACGAUAAUUAUUUUUCUAAGUUUGUUUACCAUUUUAUAUCGCUCAUUCGUUGCGUCGUCACCAGAUACGUUUCAUUCAGUGGCAUGUGCGGGAUAUGUACGAACUUAAAAAUAGCUUUUGAUUGACAGAAAACUCGCUCUAUUGGCAACCCUGAAGGAAUUCUGGCGCGACUCGUCAUCCUCGAGGAUAGUCGAAGGUGUUCAUGUAUCAAGGGAAUUUAUGAUGUCUUAUUAUGAAAAUACUUGAUUAUUCGACUGUUUAAAUCGGACUAUAUAUAUGAAAGUGUAAAUAUUAAUGGUAGUUGACGAUUGACUUUACCACGGUUUCAAGCGUGACAGUUUUAUCGACUGAAUAUUUCUGAGCUUCGAGCGCGACCUUACACUCUCGAGAUGAGUUGAAAGGUCGCCAUGUGGCCUUCCACUCGUACAACGAAAAGAGGAUCUUUACUCGAGAUGCUUAUGUUGAAUAAAAAAAUAAAAAGCAUGUGAGCCAGCGACUAUUACAGUGACGAAGAAGAAACUUUUGAGAAAUAAGAAUCACGUUUGUAAAGAAACGUUGAAAUUUUAGUGCAAACAAUUUUCUAUGCCCAUUAAUCUUCAUGGUUCGAUAUUAAAAGUCAAUUUCAAUAAUUAUACUAGAUUUUCAUAUAGAUAUAGAUUUCCUGAGAACGUUCUUCAGGAACCUAGAGUAUCCUAAUACUACCCAGAGGUCGCCGUCGAAGUGCUUAGAAUUUCAGUGAGUUAUUUCACAAUGGAUUUGAUCCUUUCGACCUGCGGGGUUGACAAACUAAACUUAGUAAGUCGCAAAGGGUCUGGAACCCUUUACAAAUCGCCCUUACAAUUCCCUACGUAAAGUCCCGUCCACACUGAAAUGCCUUUAUCCAUUUCAAUUUGAAGAAUACAGAAAGAUUUAUUACCUUUCUAUCUCGUUAACCUCAAAAUUGUAUUAUUCAAAUCUGUUUUGCACUUUUACAAAACGUUGAAAUAUUUUUUUAAGGAACUGGUUCAUAUCUCUCCACAAGGAUGGUUGAUGCGAGAUGGAUCCCGGUGCCGAGUUUGUGACGCCUGUGCCUAACCAAGUGCGUGCACAUCACGCACUUAUGUACAUACACGUAUCCUCGGUUAACACCCCGCAGCAGGCAGUCAGGCAACAAGGCAUACGCGCAUAAAUGCGACAGGAGAAAAUCGCCGGUAUCGGUCGAACGAUGUGAACCAAUGGCGUAACUUGGUGGAUCAUUAUCCACACGUAUAAAGCUGAUACAUAGGGCAUUUAUCUAGAACCCAGCUGGCGGCGACCUUCCAUAACCCACGCUUGUAAAAACACGGCUUCCCCCGUUAACGCUCGUGCCUGCAGCACAUAUAGACAGAUACGUGUUGCUGUUGUUGACCGCCAUUGUUCUUGUUCAAGUAGCCACAUACGAAGGAGAGAAAUCCUGGCUUAGGAAAACCAUCCUGUUAGCUUCGAUGAAGGUCUACGUGUUCCUUGGGGAUAUUCGCUUUUGAUAAUUGAGUUCUAUCUAAUCCUGUCAUCGAUCCUCUCCGAGUUCACUGAAACCGAUAUAUAACCUCGCAUAUGUUUUACAAAGCAAUGAUAAUAUAUAUGUAAUAUGUAUUGAUAUCUAGUUUGUAAACGAAUUCGUGUUACAGGUACAUUUACAAAAGGAUAAAGUGCAUAUAACGAAUUUGCGUAGAGAAACGUAUAGCGUGAGAAAAGAAUGAUGUGUAAGCAGCUACGUGUGUGGUUAACCCCCUGGAUUCAAAUCUUUAGGAACUUACUGUGUGAUAUAUUUAUAUAUUGGUAUAUCGUAGCGUCUUCAGUUUUCUUAUUAUAUUAGUUAUAUAUACAUAUAUUAAUGUAUAGUCACUCUCGGUAGUCUCCUUAUAAUAAUAAUAAUGCCGCUUCUGAUACGGUUCUAAAAUACGUCUCUCCUUGUCUGUUCGUCUCGACGUCAGGGAGGACGCCUCGGUAUUCGUGUCGGUCGCCACGACGUCGCCAACCAACCACAGAAUGAAUAUAUUAAACACGAUCUUUGCCGCAGAUUCUGAAUAAAUGGAACAGUAAGAUGCCGGAAGUGUCUAUGGGUACAGACAGUAGCUCCGUGGACGACGUAAUCGAUGCCUGAUUCAUCGUGGAGAUUAUACGAUAAUUUACUAUCAAGAUUUACCAAUCCAUUUUGAAGAUCGUCAACGAGUCUCAGAAGAUAUUAAAAUGAUUGCACGAGCAACAAGUCGCCAGUUGCCAUUUACGCUCGGCAAGAAAAUAUUAAAGAAAGAGACAAGAUGGUUGGAGACUGGCGCUGCUUGCAUAUCGUGUUUUAAUAAUAAGAAACAGAAUUAAGGACGCUGCGGUUUCACUCAAAGGCCACGUGGACGCCGAACUGGCAGUUCCCUGCUCAUUAUCCUGUCGCCGGCAGGAGAAUAUCUUCCUAUUCACCAGACGCCAUCUUGUCCUCCAAGUUUGGUCCUUUAAUGUCACGGAUUCCUUUUCACUGGAUACGUGGGUGUGAUCGUCGUCAUCCGGAGGAAGGUCGAUCAACUUUCACACAGAGGUUUAAAAUUGCCAGGUGUAAGAGCAUCAUGCCAGGUGUAUCGUAAUCAGUUCAGUUCGGAUUAAUUUUACGAGCUAAUCAAGACUCCACAGCGAACCAUC